rnacentral:rRNA from 1 species
GACGAACGCUGGCGGCGUGCCUAAUACAUGCAAGUAGAACGCAGUUGCGCACGGGUGAGUAACGCGUAGGUAACUUCCUCAUAGCGGGGGAUAACUAUUGGAAACGAUAGCUAAUACCGCAUACUGUGAGAUGGACCUUCGUUGUAUUAGCUAGUUGGUGAGGUAACGGCUCACCAAGGCGCCGAUUCAUAGCCGACCUGAGAGGGGGAUUGGCAACAAGGGGACUGAGACACGGCCCAGACUCCAAAGGGAGGCAGGAGUAGGAAAGGUUCGGCAAUGGACGGAAGUCUGACCGAGCAACGACGCGUAAGUGAAGAAGGUUUUCGGAUCGGAAAGCUCUGUUGUUAGAGAAGCGGUAAAUAACCAGAAAGGGACGGCUAACUACGUGCCAGCAGCCGCGGUAAAUC